rnacentral:lncRNA from 1 species
AAUCUCUCCAAUAUUUGUUUAUCUCCAUAACUUUCAUUCCCGCUGCAUGGAUAAAGCUGUAUAUAUUUAUAUUUAUAACAAUAUAUAAAAAUAAUAAUUUUAACGCACAUAUUAUAUAUCCUACCAUUGGUAAUAACCACUACUUCAAAAGGUCGAACUAUUAGAAUAAACUAAUCAAUUUAUUUAAAAGUGUAUGUAUAAACACAGUGCUCACGAGUCUCGACCGUGAUUUGAUUGAAUUAGUUC